rnacentral:rRNA from 1 species
AUACGUAGGGAGCGAGCGUUGUCCGGAAUUACUGGUGUAAAGGGAGCGUAGGCGGGAGUGCAAGUCAGAUGUGAAAUGCCGGGGCUCAACCCCGGAGCUGCAUUUGAAACUGUGGUUCUUGAGUGAGGUAGAGGUAAGCGGAAUUCCUAGUGUAGCGGUGAAAUGCGUAGAUAUUAGGAGGAACAUCGGUGGCGAAGGCGGCUUACUGGGCCUUUACUGACGCUGAGGCACGAAAGCGUGGGGAGCAAACAGGAUUUGAUACCCUGGUAGUCCACGCUGUAAACGAUGAUGACUAGGUGUGGGGGGACUGAACCCUUCCGUGCCGCAGUUAACACAAUAAGUCAUCCACCUGGGGAGUACGGCCGCAAGGUUGAAACUCAAAUGAAUUGACGGGG